AUUGAACGCUGGCGGCAUGCCUUACACAUGCAAGUCGAACGGCAGCACGGGUGCUUGCACCUGGUGGCGAGUGGCGAACGGGUGAGUAAUAUAUCGGAACGUACCUUAUCGUGGGGGAUAACGCAGCGAAAGCUGUGCUAAUACCGCAUAAGCCCUAAGGGGGAAAGCAGGGGACCGUAAGGCCUCGCGCGAUUAGAGCGGCCGAUACCUGAUUAGCUAGUUGGUGAGGUAAAGGCUCACCAAGGCAACGAUCAGUAGCUGGUCUGAGAGGACGAUCAGCCACACUGGGACUGAGAGACGGCGCAGACUCCUACGGGAGGCAGCAGUGGGGAAUUUUGGACAAUGGGGGCAACCCUGAUCCAGCAAUGCCGCGUGAGUGAAGAAGGCCUUCGGGUUGUAAAGCUCUUUUGUCAGGGAAGAAACAGCAGCUCUAAUACAGUAUGCGAAUGACGGUACCUGAAGAAUAAGCACCGGCUAACUACGUGCCAGCAGCCGCCGUAA
rnacentral:rRNA from 1 species